AACGAACGCUGGCGGCAUGCCUAACACAUGCAAGUCGAACGAGACCUUCGGGUCUAGUGGCGCACGGGUGCGUAACGCGUGGGAACCUGCCCGUAGGUUCGGAAUAACUCCCCGAAAGGGGUGCUAAUACCGGAUAAGGUCUUCGGACCAAAGAUGUAUCGCCUUUGGAUGGGGCCGGGUUGGAUUAGCUAGUUGGUAGGGUAAAAGCCUACCAAGGCGACGAUCCAUAGCUGGUCUGAGAGGAUGACCAGCCACACUGGGACUGAGACACGGCCCAGACUCCUACGGGAGGCAGCAGUAGGGAAUAUUAGACGAUGAGCGAAAGCCUGAUCCAGCAAUGCCGCGUGAGUGAUGAAGGCCUUAGGGUUGUAAAGCUCUUUUACCCGGGAUGAUAAUGACAGUACCGGGUGAAUAAGCACCGGCUAACUACGUG
rnacentral:rRNA from 1 species